rnacentral:rRNA from 1 species
GGAAGGAUCAUUAUUGAAUGAACUUGGUGUGGUUGUUGCUGGCCCUCUCGGGGGCAUGUGCACACCCACCAUCCUCAUCUCUCCACCUGUGCACCUCUUGUAGACCUGGAUAGACUUUCAGAGGCAACUCGGUCGGGAAGAUUGCUGCGCUCUGUGAGCCAGCUUUCUUUGCAUGUCCAGGCCUAUGUUUUUCAUAUACCCCUAUAGAAUGUAACAGAAUGUAUCAUUGGGCCUUGUGCCUAUAAACCUUAUACAACUUUCAGCAACGGAUCUCUUGGCUCUCGCAUCGAUGAAGAACGCAGCGAAAUGCGAUAAGUAAUGUGAAUUGCAGAAUUCAGUGAAUCAUCGAAUCUUUGAACGCACCUUGCGCUCCUUGGUAUUCCGAGGAGCAUGCCUGUUUGAGUGUCAUUAAAUUCUCAACCUUAUUAGCUUUUGUUGAUAAUGGAUUGGAUGUGGGGGUUUCUUUUGCUGGCUUCUUCACAGAGAUCAGCUCCCCUUAAAUGCAUUAGCUGGUGCCCCGCGUGGACCAUCUAUUGGUGUGAUAAUUAUCUACGCCGUGGAUGUCUGCAAUCAUAUGGGUUUUGCACUGCUUCUAACCGUCUGUUCAUUCGGACAA